GUUCGGGUUGUCAUGCCAAUGGCACUGCCCGGUAGCUAAAUGCGGAAGAGAUAAGUGCUGAAAGCAUCUAAGCACGAAACUUGCCCCGAGAUGAGUUCUCCCUGAGACUUUAAGUCUCCUGAAGGAACGUUGAAGACGACGACGUUGAUAGGCCGGGUGUGUAAGCGCAGCGAUGCGUUGAGCUAACCGGUACUAAUGAACCGUGAGGCUUAACCUUAC
rnacentral:rRNA from 1 species